UCCAAGAAACUUUUACAACAUAUGUAA
rnacentral:piRNA from 1 species